rnacentral:rRNA from 1 species
GGUUAAGCGACUAAGCGUACACGGUGGAUGCCCUGGCAGUCAGAGGCGAUGAAGGGCGUGCUAAUCUGCGAUAAGCGCCGGUAAGGUGAUAUGAACCGUUAUAACCGGCGAUACCCGAAUGGGGAAACCCAGUGUGACUCGUCACACUAUCAUUAACUGAAUCCAUAGGUUAAUGAGGCGAACCGGGGGAACUGAAACAUCUAAGUACCCCGAGGAAAAGAAAUCAACCGAGAUUCCCCCAGUAGCGGCGAGCGAACGGGGAGGAGCCCAGAGCCUGAAUCAGCAUGUGUGUUAGUGGAAGCGUCUGGAAAGGCGCGCGAUACAGGGUGACAGCCCCGUACACAAAAGCGCAUGUGCUGUGAGCUCGAUGAGUAGGGCGGGACACGUGGUAUCCUGUCUGAAUAUGGGGGGACCAUCCUCCAAGGCUAAAUACUCCUGACUGACCGAUAGUGAACCAGUACCGUGAGGGAAAGGCGAAAAGAACCCCGGCGAGGGGAGUGAAAAAGAACCUGAAACCGUGUACGUACAAGCAGUGGGAGCACAGGUUUACCUGUGUGACUGCGUACCUUUUGUAUAAUGGGUCAGCGACUUAUAUUCUGUAGCAAGGUUAACCGAAUAGGGGAGCCGCAGGGAAACCGAGUCUUAAUUGGGCGUUAAGUUGCAGGGUAUAGACCCGAAACCCGGUGAUCUAGCCAUGGGCAGGUUGAAGGUUGGGUAACACUAACUGGAGGACCGAACCGACUAAUGUUGAAAAAUUAGCGGAUGACCUGUGGCUGGGGGUGAAAGGCCAAUCAAACCGGGAGAUAGCUGGUUCUCCCCGAAAGCUAUUUAGGUAGCGCCUCGUGAACUCAUCUCCGGGGGUAGAGCACUGUUUCGGCUAGGGGGCCAUCCCGGCUUACCAACCCGAUGCAAACUGCGAAUACCGGAGAAUGUUAUCACGGGAGACACACGGCGGGUGCUAACGUCCGUCGUGAAGAGGGAAACAACCCAGACCGCCAGCUAAGGUCCCAAAGUCAUGGUUAAGUGGGAAACGAUGUGGGAAGGCCCAGACAGCCAGGAUGUUGGCUUAGAAGCAGCCAUCAUUUAAAGAAAGCGUAAUAGCUCACUGGUCGAGUCGGCCUGCGCGGAAGAUGUAACGGGGCUAAACCAUGCACCGAAGCUGCGGCAGCGACGCUGAUGCGUUGUUGGGUAGGGGAGCGUUCUGUAAGCCUGCGAAGGUGGCCUGUGAGGGUUGCUGGAGGUAUCAGAAGUGCGAAUGCUGACAUAAGUAACGAUAAAGCGGGUGAAAAGCCCGCUCGCCGGAAGACCAAGGGUUCCUGUCCAACGUUAAUCGGGGCAGGGUGAGUCGACCCCUAAGGCGAGGCCGAAAGGCGUAGUCGAUGGGAAACGGGUUAAUAUUCCCGUACUUGGUGUUACUGCGAAGGGGGGACGGAGAAGGCUAUGUUGGCCGGGCGACGGUUGUCCCGGUUUAAGCGUGUAGGUGUGUGUUCCAGGUAAAUCCGGUUCACUUUAACACUGAGGCGUGAUGACGAGGCACUACGGUGCUGAAGCAACAAAUGCCCUGCUUCCAGGAAAAGCCUCUAAGCAUCAGGUAACAUCAAAUCGUACCCCAAACCGACACAGGUGGUCAGGUAGAGAAUACCAAGGCGCUUGAGAGAACUCGGGUGAAGGAACUAGGCAAAAUGGUGCCGUAACUUCGGGAGAAGGCACGCUGACACGUAGGUGAAGUGAUUUACUCAUGGAGCUGAAGUCAGUCGAAGAUACCAGCUGGCUGCAACUGUUUAUUAAAAACACAGCACUGUGCAAACACGAAAGUGGACGUAUACGGUGUGACGCCUGCCCGGUGCCGGAAGGUUAAUUGAUGGGGUCAGCGCAAGCGAAGCUCCUGAUCGAAGCCCCGGUAAACGGCGGCCGUAACUAUAACGGUCCUAAGGUAGCGAAAUUCCUUGUCGGGUAAGUUCCGACCUGCACGAAUGGCGUAAUGAUGGCCAGGCUGUCUCCACCCGAGACUCAGUGAAAUUGAACUCGCUGUGAAGAUGCAGUGUACCCGCGGCAAGACGGAAAGACCCCGUGAACCUUUACUAUAGCUUGACACUGAACAUUGAGCCUUGAUGUGUAGGAUAGGUGGGAGGCUUUGAAGUGUGGACGCCAGUCUGCAUGGAGCCGACCUUGAAAUACCACCCUUUAAUGUUUGAUGUUCUAACGUGGACCCGUAAUCCGGGUUGCGGACAGUGUCUGGUGGGUAGUUUGACUGGGGCGGUCUCCUCCUAAAGAGUAACGGAGGAGCACGAAGGUUGGCUAAUCCUGGUCGGACAUCAGGAGGUUAGUGCAAUGGCAUAAGCCAGCUUGACUGCGAGCGUGACGGCGCGAGCAGGUGCGAAAGCAGGUCAUAGUGAUCCGGUGGUUCUGAAUGGAAGGGCCAUCGCUCAACGGAUAAAAGGUACUCCGGGGAUAACAGGCUGAUACCGCCCAAGAGUUCAUAUCGACGGCGGUGUUUGGCACCUCGAUGUCGGCUCAUCACAUCCUGGGGCUGAAGUAGGUCCCAAGGGUAUGGCUGUUCGCCAUUUAAAGUGGUACGCGAGCUGGGUUUAGAACGUCGUGAGACAGUUCGGUCCCUAUCUGCCGUGGGCGCUGGAGAACUGAGGGGGGCUGCUCCUAGUACGAGAGGACCGGAGUGGACGCAUCACUGGUGUUCGGGUUGUCAUGCCAAUGGCACUGCCCGGUAGCUAAAUGCGGAAGAGAUAAGUGCUGAAAGCAUCUAAGCACGAAACUUGCCCCGAGAUGAGUUCUCCCUGAGACUUAGAGUCUCCUGAAGGAACGUUGAAGACGACGACGUUGAUAGGCCGGGUGUGUAAGCGCAGCGAUGCGUUGAGCUAACCGGUACUAAUGAACCGUGAGGCUUAACCUU